CGUAACGAUUCGGUAUCGUGUACGGGGCCAACCACGCGUAUGGAAUCUACCUUGUACAGGGGGAUAGCCCAGAGAAAUUUGGAUUAAUACCCCAUAGUAUUAUGAAAAGGCAUCACUUUGAGAUCGGCUUACCGUACAAGAUGAGCAUGCGUCCCAUUAGCUAGAUGGUGAGGUAACGGCUCACCAUGGCAACGAUGGGUAGGGGUCCUGAGACCCAGGGAGAUCCCCCACACUGGUACUGAGACACGGACCAGACUCCUACGGGAGGCAGCAGUGAGGAAUAUUGGGCAAUGGUCGCAAGGCUGAACCAGCCAUGCCGCGUGCAGGAUGACGCUUCUAUGGUGUGUAAACUGCUUUUGUACAGGAAGAAACACUCCCUUGCGAGGGAGCUUGACGGUACUGUAAGAAUAAGGAUCGGCUAACUCCGUGCCAGCAGCCGCGGUAAUACGGAGGAUCCAAGCGUUAUCCGGAAUCAUUGGGUUUAAAGGGUCCGUAGGCGGUUUUAUAAGUCAGUGGUGAAAUCUGGUCGCUCAACGAUCAAACGGCCAUUGAUACUGUAAGACUUGAAUUACUUGGAAGUAACUAGAAUAUGUAGUGUAGCGGUGAAAUGCUUAGAGAUUACAUGGAAUACCAAUUGCGAAGGCAGGUUACUACGAGUAUAUUGACGCUGAUGGACGAAACGUGGGGAGGCGAACAGGAUUAGAUACCCUGGUAGUCCACGCCGUAAACGAUGGAUACUAGCUGUUUGGGGCAACCUGAGUGGCUAAGCGAAAGUGAUAAGUAUCCCACCUGGGGAGUACGCUCGCAAGAGUGAAACUCAAAGGAAUUGACGGGGGCCCGCACAAGCGGAGGAGCAUGUGGUUUAAUUCGAUGAUACGCGAGGAACCUUACCAAGGCUUAAAUGGGAAACGACAGAUUUGGAAACAGACCUUUCUUCGGACGUUUUUCAAGGUGCUGCAUGGUUGUCGUCAGCUCGUGCCGUGAGGUGUCAGGUUAAGUCCUAUAACGAGCGCAACCCCUGUUGUUAGUUGCCAUCGAGUAAGGUCGGGAACUCUAACAAGACUGCCGGUGCAAACCGUGAGGAAGGUGGGGAUGACGUCAAAUCAUCACGGCCCUUACGCCUUGGGCUACACACGUGCUACAAUGGACGGUACAGAGAGCAGCCACUACGCAAGUAGGCGCGAAUCUACAAAACCGUUCUCAGUUCGGAUCGGAGUCUGCAACUCGACUCCGUGAAGCUGGAUUCGCUAGUAAUCGCAGAUCAGCCAUGCUGCGGUGAAUACGUUCCCGGGCCUUGUACACACCGCCCGUACAGUUCGGGC
rnacentral:rRNA from 1 species